GGGGAAUUUUGGACAAUGGGCGCAAGCCUGAUCCAGCCAUGCCGCGUGUCUGAAGAAGGCCUUCGGGUUGUAAAGGACUUUUGUCAGGGAAGAAAAGGCUGUUGCUAAUACCGACAGCUGAUGACGGUACCUGAAGAAUAAGCACUGGCUAACUACGUGCCAGCAGCCGCGGUAAUACGUAGGGUGCGAGCGUUAAUCGGAAUUACUGGGCGUAAAGCGAGCGCAGACGGUUACUUAAGCAGGAUGUGAAAUCCCCGGGCUCAACCUGGGAACUGCGUUCUGAACUGGGUGACUAGAGUGUGUCAGAGGGAGGUAGAAUUCCACGUGUAGCAGUGAAAUGCGUAGAGAUGUGGAGGAAUACCGAUGGCGAAGGCAGCCUCCUGGGAUAACACUGACGUUCAUGCUCGAAAGCGUGGGUAGCAGACAGGAUUAGAUACCCUGGUAGUCCACGCCCUAAACGAUGUCAAUUAGCUGUUGGGCAACUUGAUUGCUUAGUAGCGUAGCUAACGCGUGAAAUUGACCGCCUGGGGAGUACGGUCGCAAGAUUA
rnacentral:rRNA from 1 species